rnacentral:rRNA from 1 species
AGAGUUUGAUCCUGGCUCAGAUUGAACGCUGGUGGCAUGCUUAACACAUGCAAGUCGAACGGUAACAGGUCUUCGGAUGCUGACGAGUGGCGGACGGGUGAGUAACGCGUAGGAAUCUGCCAUCUGUGGGGGAUACCAGUUGGAAACGACUGUUAAUACCGCAUAAUAUCUGCGGAUUAAAGGUGGCCUUUGCGCUGCCGCAGAUGGAUGAGCCUGCGUUGGAUUAGCUAGUUGGUGGGGUAAGGGCCUACCAAGGCUACGAUCCAUAGCUGAUUUGAGAGGAUGAUCAGCCACAUUGGGACUGAGACACGGCCCAAACUCCUACGGGAGGCAGCAGUGGGGAAUAUUGGACAAUGGGGGAAACCCUGAUCCAGCAAUGCCAUGUGUGUGAAGAAGGCUCUAGGGUUGUAAAGCACUUUAGUUGGGGAGGAAAGCCUGUGAGUUAAUAGCUUGCAGGAAGGACGUUGCCCAAAGAAUAAGGACCGGCUAACUCCGUGCCAGCAGCCGCGGUAAUACGGGGGGUCCGAGCGUUAAUCGGAAUUACUGGGCGUAAAGGGUCUGUAGGUGGUUUGUUAAGUCAGAUGUGAAAGCCCAGGGCUCAACCUUGGAACUGCAUUUGAUACUGACAAACUAGAGUAUGGUAGAGGAAUAGGGAACUUCUGGUGUAGCGGUGAAAUGCGUAGAGAUCAGAAGGAACACCAAUGGCGAAGGCAACAUUCUGGACCAAUACUGACACUGAGGGACGAAAGCGUGGGGAUCAAACAGGAUUAGAUACCCUGGUAGUCCACGCUGUAAACGAUGAGUACUAGCUGUUGGAUUCGGUGUAAAGGAUCUAGUGGCGCAGCUAACGCGUUAAGUACUCCGCCUGGGGACUACGGCCGCAAGGCUAAAACUCAAAGGAAUUGACGGGGACCCGCACAAGCGGUGGAGCAUGUGGGUUUAAUUCGAUGCAACGCGAAGAACCUUACCUGGUCUUGACAUCCUGCGAACUUUCUAGAGAUAGAUUGGUGCCUUCGGGAACGCAGUGACAGGUGCUGCACGGCUGUCGUCAGCUCGUGUUGUGAAAUGUUGGGUUAAGUCCCGCAACGAGCGCAACCCCUAUUGAUAGUUACCAUCAUUAAGUUGGGUACUCUAUUGAGACUGCCGCUGACAAGGCGGAGGAAGGUGGGGACGACGUCAAGUAUCAUGGCCCUUACGACCAGGGCUACACACGUGCUACAAUGGGUAUUACAGAGGGCUGCGAAGGUGCGAGCUGGAGCGAAACUCAGAAAGGUACUCUUAGUCCGGAUUGCAGUCUGCAACUCGACUGCAUGAAGUCGGAAUCGCUAGUAAUCGCAGGUCAGAAUACUGCGGUGAAUACGUUCCCGGGUCUUGUACACACCGCCCGUCACACCAUGGGAGUGGGUUGCUCCAGAAGUAGAUAGCUUAACGAAUGGGCGUUUACCACGGAGUGAUUCAUAACUGGGGUGAAGUCGUAACAAGGUAGCCGUAGGGGAACCUGCGGCUGGAUCACCU